AACUUGAAACCUCUUGUAAGGACUGAAAUUUUUACAGUGCAACUAAAUCACUGUUGAUGAUGUUUAUGUGUGUAAUUUAAUUAUAUAAGCACUCAUCAAGUUUCAGGAGAAAAUGAGCUAGAACGGAGAAGUUACGCGAUUAUUAGUUUUCACUUAAAGUGAAUAGUAACCCGAUUUUCCGGAAAAGCUACGGAGUAGAGUUGGCUUUCGGUAUGUAUCGGAUUCCGUUCAUAGCGAUCCAAUAGCUCGUUUCGAUCGGUUCAGCUGUUCUGGAACCAAUGGCACUGACGGAUUUCAGAUCUGAUGCACGGUUUUCGAGAAAAAAGAGUUUUAUCGAAAAG
rnacentral:lncRNA from 1 species